rnacentral:rRNA from 1 species
CAAAAUUCUUGACCAAAAAAACAUUAGUGACGGAUGAGGUGCUGCCCGAAAAAGACUAUGAUUUCAACGGCCGCGGUAUUUUGACCGUGCAAAGGUAGCGCAAUCACUUGUCUUUUAAAUAGAGACCUGUAUGAAUGGCCAAACGAGGGCUUAACUGUCUCCCUUUUCAAGUCAGUGAAAUUGAUCUACCCGUGCAGAAGCGGGUAUAAUAAUACAAGACGAGAAGACCCUAUGGAGCUUAAGGUACAAAACUCAACCACGUCAAGCAACUCAAUGAAAAGAAAAAACUUUGUGAAACAUGAGAUUUUACCUUCGGUUGGGGCGACCACGGAGGAAAAAAAAGCCUCCAAGUGGAAUGGAACAAAUUCCUAAAACCAAGAGAGACAUCUCUAAGCCACAGAACAUCUGACCAAACAUGAUCCGGCCCAAAAAAGCCGAUCAACGAACCAAGUUACCCUAGGGAUAACAGCGCAAUCCCCUCCCAGAGUCCAUAUCGACGAGGGGGUUUACGACCUCGAUGUUGGAUCAGGACAUCCUAAUGGUGCAGCCGCUAUUAUGGGUUCGUUUGUUCAACGAUUAAAGUCCUACGUGAUCUGAGUUUCAGACCAGGACUCGGCCUGUUUUAUCAAAAAACAAAUACGUCGAGCUGAGUUCAGAGCAGGGACCGGCGUUC